rnacentral:rRNA from 1 species
AGUAACGCGUGGGUAACCUGCCCUUGAAUCUAGGAUAACUUCGCGAAAGCGUUGCUAAUACUGGAUACCGUUCAAGAAACAGUAGUUUUUUGGAUGAAAGAUGACCAAUCCAUGGAAGUUGUCGUUUAGGGAGGGGCCCGCGUCCCAUUAGCUUGUUGGUAGGGUAAUGGCCUACCAGGGCUACGAUGGGUAGCUGGUCUGAGAGGAUGAUCAGCCACACUGGCACUGAAACACGGGCCAG